rnacentral:tRNA from 1 species
GGGAGUGUAGCUCAAUGGUAGAGCACAUGCUUAGCAUGUGGAGACUCUGAGUUCCACACCCA